rnacentral:piRNA from 1 species
UUAGCAUUGCAGCUCUGGAUGCAACU